rnacentral:lncRNA from 10 species
GAGAAAGGAAGGAAAGAAGGGGCUUAUAAUAUAUUGCUAUUAGGUCAAUAUGGUGAAGUUAAGCAGAGUUUUGAGUUCCCAUGUUAUGAUUAUGCAAAGCUCCGUCACGUACCUUAUGUGACAAAUACCUGCUGAAACUCAAAAGAUGCAUGACUUUCCAGGAUUUAGCCAUGGGAUGGCUUUCCUUGAAAGAAUUUUCUGGGCCAUAUAAAGAAGAUCAGGGAAAAGAGAAAAGGGAAAGGGAAACACCUCCGGCUAAGCUACUGGAACUUUCACUCAACCUAUUUCCUUCUUCUCCCAUCAGAAGCGUUUACAUCAAGGCCCUUCAGU